UACAGAGGCGCCAAGCGUUGUCCGGAUUGACUGGGCGUAAAGCGCACGCAGGCGGGUGUGCGGGUGGGGGGGGAAAUCUGGCCGCUUAACGGCCAGGCGCCAUCCCAUACGGCACGCCUGGAGUGAUGCAGAGGUCGAUGGAAUUGCCGGUGUAGUGGUGAAAUGCGUAGAGAUCGGCAGGAACACCCAGGGGGAAACCAGUCGACUGGGCAUCUACUGACGCUGAGGUGCGAGAGCGUGGGGAGCGAACCGG
rnacentral:rRNA from 1 species